GUAGGUGGCAAGCGUGUCCGGAUUUACUGGGCGUAAAGGCGCGCAGGCGGCUCGUCAAGUCUGGGGGUGAAAUCUCCCGGCUCAACCGGGAGAGGUCUCUGGAUACUGACGGGCUUGAGGGAAGCAGAGGAGAGCGGAAUUCCCGGUGUAGCGGUGAUAUGCGUAGAUAUCGGGAGGAACACCAGUGGCGAAGGCGGCUCUCUGGGCUUUUCCUGACGCUGAGGCGCGAAAGCGUGGGGAGCGAACCGGAUUAGAUACCCGGGUAGUCCACGCCGUAAACGUUGUGCACUAGGUGUGGGGGGUAUUGACCCCCUCCGUGCCGCAGUUAACGCGAUAAGUGCACCGCCUGGGGAGUACGGCCGCAAGGCUA
rnacentral:rRNA from 1 species